UGCCAGCACGUAAUGGUGGGAACUCUGAAAGGACUGCCGGUAUUAAAUCGGAGGAAGGUGGGGAUGACGUCAAAUCAUCAUGCCCUUUAUGUCCUGGGCAACACACGUACUACAAUGGCCGUGACAGAGAGAAGCAAUACAGCGAUGUAAAGCAAAACUCAAAAAGCGGUCUCAGUUCGGACUGAAGGCUGAAAUUCGCCUUCACGAAGUCGGAAUUGCUAGUAAUGGCAGGUCAGCAUACUGCCGUGAAUACGUUCCCGGGCCUUGUACACACCGCCCGUCACACCAUGAGAGUUAGAUAUACCCGAAGCCUGUGAGCAAACUAGUAAUAGAUGCAGCAGUCGAAGGUAGAGCUAAUGAUUGGGGUG
rnacentral:rRNA from 1 species